rnacentral:lncRNA from 1 species
CUGUCCUGAAAAAGUAAUCUGAGAUAAUUUAUAUUUAACAGGAUGAAGGCGGAUCGCUGUCCUGAAAAGCUUGAGCAUAUAGCACUCAAGAUGUGACUUUCUACUAUAUGAAAACUGAAAAUUCUUCAGGAUUCAAAAUAUUCAAGGAUAAUGAUUUUUAAGUUUAUAUGUUGUAGAAAAAAAUUCAGGUUGGGAGGAAUGUUAUAUCCAAUACAUGGCUGCUGAUUAGUUGUCUUGACCAGGGCCACCACCUGGUGGAUGACGUGGUAGUGGAAAUGAGUGUGAAAGAAGCACAUGGUGAGUGAGACCCACAGCACCUGGUCAUAACAGAUGAUAAGUAUUUGACCCAAGGUGGAGCAGUGGUCAUUACCCACCGUCACCCAUCACCAUGCCAAAAACGCCUCCUUACAGCUCCAGUCUCCAUACAGCAUGGUGUCUUCUAGGUGAACAGAUUUUACCUGGCUGGACAUGGGGGACAUGCAUUGUUAAUAUGAAAUAGACAGGAAAUAACAGCUGCAGGAAUAUCCCUUCAUCUCACACAGUUGUGCAAGACACAGCAAGUUUCAGGAUGAAUGGGUUGUGAAGAGCCAGAGACAGGACAGCCAUGAGAGUGCUGCCAGAACCACCCAGAACAAGACUUCCAAACACAGCAGAUCCUGUGGAGCCAGUUAUAUGGAACAGUACAAUUACACAACAAAUGUGGGUUCCAGGUAACACAAAGAAUCAAUUUCCCCCAUAUACAUGGAAACUAUAGAGGCAGGGUAUAUAAAGCAAGGAGAUUGUGUGGGACAAUACUCUAUCACUGAAGACAAAUAGACACAAUGGAAAUGUUUAAAAGUGAAUUGAUAUUUCAGCUCAGUUGUGAUGUGUUAUAAUAAUUUUCCCCAUAUGCAUGGAAACUGUUACAGUACUAGUAGAGGUAGCAUAUAGUGAGAUUGUGGUAGACAAUAAGUCAUCACUGAAGAGAAAAAGACAUCAGUGAAAAUUUUUUAAUGUGAAUAUGUAUUUCAGGUCAGAUAUGAUGUGUUAUAGAUGAUCUCUGUUAUUGUGAGGUCAUUAAGUUGUAUUAUGCAAAUUUUAUCACAUAUUUAUUAUAUACAGACACUCAGUCUGUCUAUAUUCUGAUCACUGUGUCUGUCCAGUGUCAUUGCCAUAGUCAGCACUUUAUGACACAUCUGUUGUUUAUCCUAUAACUGAUAAACUGUAUUUUUGUUUUAAUUUUAAUUCUUCUAGAAAAUCAGCAUGAUUGGAUUAUUUUAUGAUAUUGUUUUGUUAUCUUUAGCAGUUUGGAUAUGAUGGUACAGUAUUUCCUGAGUAUAUCAAAUUCAAGUAAUUUCUGAUUCUGAUAUUUAUUUUAAUUACUAAAUAUUGUCAUCUUGUGAAUUUAUGAAAUUAUUAUAAGUUCAUUGUUAAAUGAUUUAUCAGGUGCAUGACAGUAGUCAGAAGGUUCAUUGGUCUGAUAGUUGGAUGUUGCCAAGAUCCAAUGGUUCAAAAGAUUCACAAGUCAGAAGGUUCAUUGGUCUGAUAGUUUGAUGAUGCCAAGAUCAAGUGGUUCAAAAGGUUCAGUAGUCAGAAGGUUCAUUGGUCUGAUAGUUUGAUGAUGCAAAUGUCCAGCUGUUUCAAAGGUUUGCUAGUCAAAAGGUUCACUAGUCUGAGAGUAUGAAAUGUGUAUGGUGUAAUAUAGCAAUGAUAAUAUUUGUUUAUGUUUUACUUACUGUUCAUGACUCCAUAAUGUCCAAGCUUUGGACAUGUGUUACUUUAUCUGUGAUUUUCAUUGUUUCUUGAACACAAAUAUUUGGUUUUAUGGUCUUGUUGCCUGCUGCUGUAAAGAUGAAGACUAAUGUCAACACAUUUGAGUUAUAUUCGGAAAGCUAAAAACAGUAAUUCCUUUCAGUGAAGUAUUUUAUUUGUCUGAGUUACAUGACAUA